GGGGUGAGGAGGGGUCCGGGGUGGGCGUGCGAGGGACCAAGAUGAGCGCGCGGGGGUCCAGGUGGGCGUGCAAGGGUCCGAGGUGAGCGUGGCAGGGUCUGGGUGGGUGUGUGAGGGUCUGGGUGAGUGUGCAAAGGGUCCGGGUGGGCGUGCAAGGCUCAGGGGUGGGUGUGCAAGGGUCUGAGAUGAGCGUGCAAGGCUCAGGGGUGGGUGUGCAAGGCUCAGGGUGCGUGUGCAAGGCUCAGGGAUGAGUGUGGAAGGGUCUGGGUGGGUGUGCAAGGCUCAGAGAUGGGCGUGGAAGGCUCAGGGUGGGUGUGCAAGGCUCAGGGUGGGUGUGCAAGGCUCAGGGUGGGUGAGCGUGCAAGGCUCAAGGAUGAGCGUGGAGUGGUCUGGGUGGGUGUGCAAGGCUCAGGGUGGGUGAGUGUGCAAGGCUCAGGGAUGAGCGUGCAAGGCUCAGGGUGGGUGUGCAAGGCUCAGGGUGGGUGUGCAAGGCUCAGGGAUGGGUGUGCAAGGCUCAGGGUGGGUGAGUGUGCAAGGCGCCGCUGCGGUGCCGCAGGGGCGUGCAAGGGCCGGGCAGGGGCGGGGAAGGUGCUGGAAGGAGCCGGGGGGGCGUGCAAGGGACACGGGGGGUGUGCCAGGUGUGCCAGGUGUGCCAGGUGUGCCAGGUGUGCCAGGGACACCCAAGGGACACCCAGGGGACACCCAAGGGACACCCAGGGGACACCCGGGGCUGCCAGGCCCCCCCGGCCCGGCCGCGAGGCGGCUGCUGCGUCACCCGGGGCUGCACACGCGUGUCCCCUGCGUGUCCCCGAGCGUGUCACGCGUACCUGAGCGUGUCACGCGUGUCCUCUGCGCGUGUCCCCGAGCGUGUCACGCGUGUCCCUGCGGCCUUGGCCCCGCGCCAGUGAUGCCACCAGGCCCCAGAUUCCUGAUGUCCCCAAACCCCGAUGUCCCCAAACCCCGAUGUCCCCAAAUCCCGAUGUCCCCAAAUCCCUGUCCCUGUCUGCAUCCCUGCGCCCGUGUCCCCGUCCCGAUGUCCCCGAGUCAAUCCCGGUGUCCCAGUCCCGGUGUCCCAAAUCCCGGUGUCCCCGUGUCCUUGUCCCUGUGCCAGUGGCACUGCCAGGCCCCGAGGUCCCUGUCCCCAUAUCCCUGUCCUUGUCCCCAUCCCCUUUUCCCUGUCCCCAUUCCUGUCCCUGUCCCCGUGUCCUUGUCCCCAUCCGUGUCCCUGUCCCCAUCCUGGUGCCGAUCCCAAUGUCCCCGGGUCAAUCCCGAUGUCCCCAACCCCGGUGUCCCCGUGUCCUUGUCCCUGUGCCAGCAGCGCCACCAGGCCCCUGUCCCCUUCCCCGUCCCCAUCCUCGUGUCCCUGUGUCCCUGUCCUUGUCCCCAUCCCCUUAUCCAUGUCCCUGUCCCCGAGUCAAUCCCGAUGUCCCCAACCCCGGUGUCCCUGUGUCCUUGUCCCUGUGCCAGCAGCGCCACCAGGCCCCUGUCCCCGUCCCCGUCCCCAUCCUCGUGUCCCUGUGUCCCUGUCCUUGUCCCCAUCC
rnacentral:lncRNA from 1 species